UGCUUUGCUGUACCUGGGCCUCACC
rnacentral:piRNA from 1 species